rnacentral:rRNA from 1 species
AUUGAACGCUGGCGGCAGGCUUAACACAUGCAAGUCGAGCGGAGCGAGGGUGCUUGCACCUUAGCUUAGCGGCGGACGGGUGAGUAAUGCUUAGGAAUCUGCCUAUUAGUGGGGGACAACAUUCCGAAAGGAAUGCUAAUACCGCAUACGCCCUACGGGGGAAAGCAGGGGAUCUUCGGACCUUGCGCUAAUAGAUGAGCCUAAGUCGGAUUAGCUAGUUGGUGGGGUAAAGGCCUACCAAGGCGACGAUCUGUAGCGGGUCUGAGAGGAUGAUCCGCCACACUGGGACUGAGACACGGCCCAGACUCCUACGGGAGGUAGCAGUGGGGAAUAUUGGACAAUGGGGGGAACCCUGAUCCAGCCAUGCCGCGUGUGUGAAGAAGGCCUUAUGGUUGUAAAGCACUUUAAGCGAGGAGGAGGCUACUCUAGUUAAUACCUAGGGAUAGUGGACGUUACUCGCAGAAUAAGCACCGGCUAACUCUGUGCCAGCCGCCGCCGUAA